rnacentral:rRNA from 1 species
UGGUGGAGUGAUUUGUCUACUUAAUUGCGAUAACGAACGAGACCUUAACCUGCUAAAUAGCCCGUAUUGCUUUGGCAGUACGCUGGCUUCUUAGAGGGACUAUCGGCUCAAGCCGAUGGAAGUUUGAGGCAAUAACA